GCGCCAUUAGCUCAGUUGGUAGAGCAACUGACUCUUAAUCAGUGGGUCCCGGGUUCGAAUCCCUGAUGGCGCA
rnacentral:tRNA from 1 species